rnacentral:rRNA from 1 species
UACGGAGGGUGCAAGCGUUGUUCGGAAUUAUUGGGCGUAAAGCGCGUGUAGGCGGUUAUUUAAGUCUGGUGUGAAAUCCUGGGGCUCAACCCCAGAAGUGCACUGGAUACUGGAUGACUAGAGGAUGAGAGAGGAAAGUGGAAUUCCUGGAGUAGGGGUGAAAUCCGUAGAUAUCAGGAGGAACAUCAGUUGCGAAGGCGGCUUUCUGGCUCAUUUCUGACGCUGAGACGCGAAAGCGUGGGGAGCAAACAGG